rnacentral:ncRNA from 2 species
GCAGCUCACCGGGGGUGUCCGUUGCAACACGGGCUGAGACAGUCCCCAAACCUGAUCUGGAUCAUGCCAGCGUAGGGAGCGUGAAGGUUCGAGCUC